AGAGUUGAUCAUGGCUCAGGACGAACGCUGGCGGCGUGCUUCAUACAUGCAAGUCGAACGAGAAGCUGACUUCGGUCAGUGGAAAGUGGCGGACGGGUGAGUAAAAUGUAGAGAAUCUGCCCUUUAGCGGGGGACAACAGUUGGAAACGACUGCUAAUACCCCAUAUGAGCGUAGCUGAGAUGCUAUUCUUGAAAACUCCGGUGCUAGAGGAUGAGUCUGCAUCUGAUUAGCUAGUAGGCGGUGUAAUGGACCACCUAGGCGACGAUCAGUAGCUGGUUUGAGAGGAUGAUCAGCCACAAUGGGACUGAGACACGGCCCAUACUCCUACGGGAGGCAGCAGUAGGGAAUUUUGCGCAAUGGGGGAAACCCUGACGCAGCAACGCCGCGUGAUUGAAGAAGCCCUUCGGGGUGUAAAGAUCUGUCAGUGGGGACGAAACUUGACGGUACCCACAGAGGAAGCAUCGGCUAACUCCGUGCCAGCCGCCGC
rnacentral:rRNA from 1 species